CAGUAGCCGCGGUAAUACGUAGGUGGCAAGCGUUGUCCGGAACUAUUGGGCGUAAAGGACUCGCAGGCGGUUUCUUAAGUCUGAUGUGAAAGCCCCCGGCUCAACCGGGGAGGGUCAUUGGAAACUGGGAAACUAGAGUGCAGAAGAGGAGAGUGGAAUUCCACGUGUAGCGGUGAAAUGCGUAGAGAUGUGGAGGAACACCAACGGCGAAAGCACUCUGCUGGGCCGACACUGACACUGAGAGACGAAAGCUAGGGGAGCAAAUGGGAUUAGAGACCCCCGUAGUCCCUGUCUCUUAUAA
rnacentral:rRNA from 1 species